GUCUCUUUGGGGAUAUCGAAUAAAAAUUGUACAGUACGAGAACUGAGAAGAUUAGCAUGUCCUAUGCGCAAGGAUGUCAGUCAAAUCGAGAUAUGUCCGACUUUUUU
rfam:Solanum lycopersicum cultivar Heinz 1706 chromosome 2, whole genome shotgun sequence.